rnacentral:rRNA from 1 species
AUGUCGAGUUUCGGAUUGUGCGAAUCAAACCCGGCGAUUCCAACGGGUCGCCCUCCUCUUGCAUCGCGGCCAGUACUGGCGGGACCUGAAAUUGGGGUGCGGUGGCGUCCGCAGCCUAUGCGGCGAGAGGAUCGGCCGGGGCAGACGCACGAGUGCGCCUACCGGCACGCGCCUGCACAGGCGGGGCGGCAAGGGGCGCGAGGGCGCGUUUGGAUCAUCUGCGCAGAUGCCGCGAGACUUGUAGAAAGCGACGACGGUGUCGAAGUCGCGGCCUUCCCAAAAACUACGGUGACCUUCAGGGUUCCACGGACCAGGUGGCAUGACGGCGGCACGGGGAUGCCAUGGUGGUAUAUGUCCACCGUCUACGGCCCCGUUAGGCUUGACGACCACAAGCCGGCCGGUGUGGCACCUCCACUGCGGCUGCCGACGGUGCCGCCUCCAUCGCGGCUGCCUCCGGCGCCGUCUCUUCCUCGGCGGCCGCUGAAUCACCGCAUCCGAAAACAAUCGCUUCCAUGUGGCAUGGCGCGGGAGAGAAGAUGUGGCGGUGGGGGUGAGGUGGCAUGCGACAGCGGCAGCGUGGCGCGCCGGCCUAGGGCGGCAGCAAUUCAGCGGGCGUCAUCAGGGCGCGGCGGGCCAGGGCGUCAGCGGGGCGCGGCGGGCAAGGGCGCCAGCAGGUCAGUGGGCGUCAGCGGGGCGCGACGGGCGAGGGCAUCAGCGGGGUGCGGCCGGCGUGGGCGCCAGCGGGUCAGCGGAGGCGCGGAGGCUGAGGGCGCCAGCGGGUCAGCGGAGGCGCGGCGGGCGGGGGUAGGCCCAGGGGCGCAGGCGGGGCAGGUGCAUGCAUGCAGGCCGUGGUUAGCUGGUCAUCCAGCGCCGGUCGAGCGUCGUCCAGCCGAGAAAAAAAAACCGUACGUGUAUAUGUACCAGCCGGGGGCAGGCGGGGCGGACUUUUCUAAAUAUGUCAAUCGUACCCCUGAUUAUGAAGAGGUAUCGUGCGAUUUGGGCCAUCCUUGUAUUCAGGGGGAUUCUCAAAAGCUGGACCCAAAGCCAGAAUCUGUAGAAGGCUUACUCGCCGACAUAAGUGGUAGAAGAAAUUCGGAGGAACAAACUCCUUUGUGUGCUUGCUGCGACAACAGAACAAAAGUACAUGUCUUGUUGUGCAUUUGCCGACUAGCCGAGUGCGACCGAGAUUCAGUUCAUAAAGUUUUCCUUGCCUCCUCACUUCUCUCUUCUUCUUCUUUUCAUUUCUCGAUGGGGAGUACUUGCAGGUCUCUCUCCGAAGAAACACUUGGCUUGGCCAGCAUCGAUACGCCCAUCUGGCCAAACAUUGCAAAUCCACCAGCCGCCACUGCUUCACGGCUCGAGGAGAGGCGGCAUCGAGGAGAGGUCAAGCUGGCUCACCAUGGUACUGGGAAGAGGUCGACCGUGAAGGACGAGGUGAGGUGGGAGGAGAGGAAGCGGCUACCGUACGCUAGAAAUUCAGAAGAGAAGGACGAGACGAGACUAGGAAAAGGAGGUGAUUGCUUUCCUUCUUCACAAGGGGAGCCAUAUGAUGUUGUAAACCUAAUGACCAGACCACAUUUUAAUCUUCCCACGGACCAUCAGGUUUUGCUGGAUGGUGAGUGCAUGCCGUCAUCCCCCGCCCCGUGCCUCUUGUCUCCCUCCAGCUAUUCUCCCUCGCCCCGUGGCCACGUAUUGUUCGUUUGUACGAGGCUGUGGCCGGUGCGCGUGCUGCCGGCCUCCGUGGCCGACCUAGCGCGGGCUGCUGUUGCCGUAUACGCCUCUGAGGGCCGCAGGCCGCCACUCCCCGAGGACGACAGUGCCACGGACGCGCCCGCGCAUGGUUCGAGCUACAUCUUUCCGAGUACGCCCUCGACGAAUCAGAAAUCCGACGCAUGCUCUUGGCCCGGAGGAGAAGGUGCUGGACCUGGGCUGUCACAACUUGUUCCUCUGCAGAUCCUCUGCAUCUUCACUCAUCAGUGCCAUGUCUCGAUGUCUGAAUGA